AUGGCGGGAGGCCCCUGCUUGCAGCCACGGGUGCCUCCCCACGGCUGGCUUGUCCUUGUUGGCGACCUUGGGCUGGGGCAGGUGAGGCUUGCCUUAAAAACUCUCUUGCACUUUUUAAACUUCCUGCUUAAAGACGCGAGCGGCGACCACGAACGGCAUUCGGGGCAACGCACGCAGGUUGUGAGGACAGAAACGCGCUGGUCGGAAGGACCCACGCCUGUCAGGACAGCGGUUACUCUGGCGGUCGGGCCGCCAGACUCAAGGUCAUGGGCGGGAGGGCGAGUAUUUGGUCGUCUGAAUCUGUUCCUGCUCUUUUUAAUUUAUACGUUGCUUCCCUUUCAGAUCCGUUUCCCGCCACUAAGGAGCGCUUCCAGCGCCUACGCUUACUCGGUUUACUCGCCUUCUUGCAAGAGGUGUAUCGUUUCUGAAUCUCGAUUCUUCCCUUUUCAUCCGCGUGCUUCGUUCGCACGGUGUGACGGUCACCCUCUCAUUUCCUCACUGAGCACCCUCUCCCACAUGCACCUGCAUUCAGUUUCUCCCCCUGCCUGGCCCUGCUGUGGCACCCACACGCGGCUCCCCUGCUCCCCACACCCGCAGGGGGCCCUCGCCCCUCCCCCAUGUGCCCGCCACGGAGGGUCGGGGGGGGGGGGCGCUCCGGGGGACACGCAGACCCCGGGGGCCGUCCACGCGCCCGUCAACCUUGGCCAUUGGCCAGCUUCCUGCGUUUGCCGCUUCCCUCUGCCUUUCUCCGCAGGCUCACUUCGAGCACCUGCUCCGGGGUGGUGGGGUGGGGGGGGGAGGGAACUUGCGGCUCCCUCACAGCUGCCCACGCACAGCUCGGCCAUUUCCCACCGCGAGUGCGGGCUCCUGUUUCUCGGCAGGGGUGCACCUGUGGAGUCCACGUCAAUGGUCUCAAACCGGGGCCUCGGGACCCUUUCACACAGUCAAAAAUUAUCGAGGGUCCCGGGGAAGUUUUGUUUACGUAGGUUACCUCUAUCGAUGUUUACUAUAGCAGAAAAUACAACUACGAAAAUGGAAAGGCACGCGCUUAUCCUUCCUUCAACAACAGCACCGAUAGACCAGGCGCCGAACCACCCACAGCACACAGCUCGUCAGCGGCACGAGGCAGGAAACACUGGGAAGAUGUUGUUUUGGGGGCUUCCUGAGGCUGUGGCCCCGGGGCCCGGAGGUAGCCGCGGCUCAAGCAGGUGCGUGGAUCCCCCGGUCACUUCCAACCCUCUACGCGCCCGCCAGUCUUGA
rnacentral:lncRNA from 1 species